AAGAAACGGACGGGCCUGGGAACGACGACCCCUCGCACGAAAGAAACCUCACGACCGAGGCUACCCUCAUCUAUUCGCUACAACGACGGCAGCCAUGCCGCCGCCGCCACCGCGAUCCCUGAAACGCCGCCGAUCUAUUCGCUACAUCGACGGAAACCAGGCGCUAGCCACGGAUCCCUUUGCCGGCGCCGAGCAGUCAUCGAGGAGUCGGCGCCGAUGUCCUAAAGGAGGCGCCGCCACCAUCGUUGCAGGCCUCCAGGUCACCAUCGGGACACCGCCGCCGAGAUCCGCCUUCGCCUUCGUCCGGCAGAGGCGGCGGAAGGCAGCCGGGAGGGGAAGCGCACAACGACCCGGAAGACAUCUGCCCUCACGCGCUCAUCGUCUUGCUCGAUCUACCCGAGGGCUGCCGAUGGGCGCCUCGGCGGCGGCCACGGCGAGAUCUGCGUCUGGGACGUGACAAUCCCUCCACCCCGGUCGCCGGUGAGAUUUCACUGCCUUGAUCCUCCCGGUCCCAGUUUAUCAGGUCGUCCCUGACAAAGAGAUGCUACUGCCGGGCACGUGCACGCACGUGGGGCGGCCGCCUGCGAGCGGGGCCGCGUCCUCUCUCCUUCGUCGACCAUGGCCUCCGAACCACUCCGUUGAGCGGUACCUCUGCGCCCAAGUGUCCGCUCCUCGAUCUUCAACAGAUUUGUUAUCUCCUCUCUUCCGUUGCAGGUAGGGUACACUUGAUGUUUCAUGUUUGGUGAAAGAAAAGGAGCUUCCUAUGUUGAUUUCGGGCAAGACAUACAUUCUGCCAUGCAUUAGUAGAUCAAUUGCUUCUCUGUGUAGGGGAACGAUUAGCGAUUGAAUCUCUCUGUCUCGUUUCUUGAUUAUCCAAUUAAUUUACCCUCAUCUAUGCAUAAAUUGGUCCGAUUGAGUUAUGCCAUUUUUCUAAUAAUCUAUAUUGGUUCUAUAUAUGACUAGAACAAUAUGAUACGAUGCACAUCGGUCCGCUUUACUGGCAGCUAUCUUUCAAGAUGGAGGGGAGGCACUCGUGUGGACCUGCUCAAUGUUCGAGGAGAUACGGCUGACUAAACAAGGUUAUUUUGAAGUUCUUUGUGGUUCAUGUUAGCUAUCUAUCAGUAAUAGUACAACCUUGAUUUUUAUGUCGUUCAGGUUUACCUAACAUUCAGUAACAUUACUUUCCAUUGGAGACUUCUUACAGGAGGUGCUUAUAAAAUGAUGGUUGAACAUGUACAGAUUUUGGAUCACGAUCAUCUAUUUACCAGGCAUCAGUUAACUCAAGGCAUCGACCAAAAUCUAGCAUUCUUUGUUGUGUGCACCAUGGAGAAGACAAAGAACAGAGAUUGUGUGAUAUAUCCGAUAGCGCAAUAUAAUUUUCUCUUGCAUAUUUAUAAUCUGCCAUUUGAAUGAUGUUUUCUAUGUUGUAGUCAAAUCAAGACAAUUUGCAACUUUGGUGUUGUGACGUUGGAGGCCGUGCUCAACAGCAAUGGGGGACUGUUCGUUGAUGCCCGACCCAUGAUGCCGGCGAAGGAAUGAGAGUCGACGAGGAGUGGACACCAUGGGUUUGUGAACUGGCGAAGCCUCCGUUGUCCGUUUGGUAAUGUCCGACGCAUCAGAGGCAUAGUAUGACUUGCCCCGAUUAUGAUGUCGUCUACAAACAUCCGACGGAGGGGAGCCCGUCCCAGUUUCCAUCUUGAUGUUUCAGUUGUUGAGCUCUGCACUAUAAAACCGAGAAAUACCCAAGGCUUUUUACAGACUACAAAUAGAGGGAAGUUUGCAUGUGCCUUACUAGAGACAGAUGAACCAAUAAAAUGAUUGGAAAGGUUCUUCCCAAGCAAAAGAUUACCUAUGAUGAAAAUUACAUUCUCUGCGGGCGCUGAUUCAGAUAUAUUACUAUGGGCAAAGGAAGUUCAAAAUUUAUCUCAAUCAAACAUGUGCAAAGGAAAAUUCAAAAUUUGUUAUGUCAGGAAAAGAUUCUUAAACCAGUGAAGUAUCUAGAGGGCUUAUUAGGACACUGCUCAUAUUGUUUGAUACUUUACCAUCUGGGGAUUAGGCUACCGGUGAACACGACAAUGCGGCUGUUGGUCACGGAUGCCGGGGGCGUGAGCGGGGUUGAGGAGCUCACAUGGUGCUAUACAUGACGACCUGCGAGUGGUGGCAGGAGGUGGCAUGCCUGCUGCUUGGCUGGAAGUCCGACAUGAACUCCCACGACCGACUGUAAGCAUGGUUGUGAAGACCUUCCAGCAUUACCCCAGGAAGCUAACACAUCAGCUUGUGCCAUACGUGGUGUUUUCUUGUUGAUGAAUGUUGGUCUAGGUAAUUUCUUUGAUGAACCAUGUGACAAUUAAUAAAGUUAAUAAAGGACAGCAUACUCUUUUUGUCUGCCUUGAUCGCAGUGGGGCGGGGGUGAGGCGUUGGAGAGAGAGGCGGGGCAAUGGUGCAUGCGUGCAGUGCGUCUGGACGACAGAAUGCAUGAUCGAGUGAUCGGUGUGGUGGUUGGCGGUGCUUGGGCAUUGAUGUUCAAUUUGAGAGGAAGAAGAAAGAUUAGCUGCUGAUUUUGGGGUAAGAAGAGAGAUUGAGCGUGUUGUUGUUGUCGUGUGUGGUCUUGGGAGAGGAAUAAAAGAGAGUAGUAAAGAGCUGUAGAGAGAUAGCGAGGGAUUGAGAGGCUACUACUAUUUUUUAUUGUUGUCGAUGCACAAUGCUAUUUCUUAUUAUACUGGGGUAUUCAUCUUUGGACUAAAAACAAUCA